CGGGUAGCGGAACACGUACGCAACCUUCCUUUAACUGGAGAAUAGCCCCUCGAAAGAGGGAUUAAUACUCCGUAACAUCCCGACAUGGCAUCGUGUUGGGAUUAUAGCUCCGGCGGUUAAAGAUGGGCGUGCGCCUGAUUAGAUAGUUGGCGGGGUAACGGCCCACCAAGUCUGCGAUGGGUAGCUGGUGUGAGAGCACGACCAGCCACACGGGCACUGAGACACGGGCCCG
rnacentral:rRNA from 1 species